rnacentral:rRNA from 1 species
GAUGAACGCUGACAGAAUGCUUAACACAUGCAAGUCGACUUGAAUUUGGGUUUUUUACUUAGGUUUGGGUGGCGGACGGGUGAGUAACGCGUAAAGAACUUGCCUCACAGCUAGGGACAACAUUUGUAAACGAAUGCUAAUACAUAAUAUUAUGAUAAUAGGGCAUCCUAUAAUUAUGAAAGCUAUAAGCGCUGUGAGAGAGCUUUGCGUCCCAUUAGCUAGUUGGAGAGGUAACGGCUCACAAAGGCGAUGAUGGGUAGCCGGCCUGAGAGGGUGAUCGGCCACAAGGGGACUGAGAAACGGCCCUUACUCAUACGGGAGGCAGCAGUGGGGAAUAUUGGACAAUGGACCGAGAGUCUGAUCCAGCAAUUCUGUGUGCACGAUGAAGUUUUUAGGAAUGUAAAGUGCUUUCAGUUGGGAAGAAACAAAUGACGGUACCAACAGAAGAAGUGACGGCUAAAUACGUG